GCCAGUUCAGACCACCUUUGCAGCGAUCCUCAGAGCAAGGGUUCCCCCAAGCUCCUUAGGUCACUGGGCCAACAUCUUUCAGAUGACAAUUAAGUCUCCUCCCCUUUAGGGGGUCAGUGGGCAACAGACACCAGUGAAGCAGUGGUUGAAAGAUGGUAGUUCACAGCCCAAACAUGGACGCCACGUCUUCACAAGGGGCCUUCUUGAAGGAGAAUGCAUGUCCUCAAACUUCAUUGUUUUUACUGUUCCGUGGAAUCCAGUGACUGACCUUGGGGACCUUGACUCCUAGGCCUGAGACCCGAGUGCAGCAGCACCCAGUGGCUUCUCCCAGCUCUGCUCACCCAGGAAACCUCAGGAGGCCAGGCUCCCUCCAGGAGGCAUCAGGAGUCAGGCCCCGACUCCAGGAACUCACUCCUGGUGGGAGAGUCUCCUGGUACCGAGCAGAUGUGGACCAGCCUUGAGACCUUCUGCUGCUUCCAAGCGAUACUGCCGUCCUCCUGGGAACCCAGGCUCGUGCUGCUUCUUGGCUCUUGUUGCAGGAGAAGAUUUCAGGCAAGAAACAAAACAGAGUAAAAGUACAACAAAUUGCAGGCACACUGGAGCAGCAUAGAGACCCUGUGCUUGGCCAGGUGUCUGCAAGUGACAAGCAAGGAUUGGGAGGACUCAAGACGACGGUGACACCAGCCUUCAAAACCAGAUCUGGCCCUCGCUCGCCCAGUGUUGAAGAUAAACACCAGAGAAAUGUAGAGCCACCUGUCCAUUGUGGCAGUCUCAAUGGCUCUGCCGUGAAUGGGGGAGAAAGAAGGAAAGUGGGAUUGAAGAGGGGGGGUCAGGUCCUCCUUCCAUGGAUGAGGUUCAAGUGCUGGUGUGAUCCUGGGGGACGUGAUCACUAGGCCAGGUAAGUGUGUAAGUGUGCGCCUGGAGUGAGAAGGACAGGGACCAGAAAUCAGCUCUGAAGACAGGCCCAACAGUGAGAGCCAAGGGCACUGGAUGAAAUGGGCCCAGUGGUGGGGCCUGAAGAGCUCAGCGAGGCUAGCGGAAGAAAUCCAGGCCUGGAAAAGGUGAGUCAAGGCGAGUUCAGGGCAGGGAGACGUAGGGUGAGACCAGUGAGUCCGCAAGGGGGUGUUGCCUUCUCCAAGGUCACGGGAAGACUGAGCCCCGGGAGAGCUGAGAGGAGGCCCAAGGUGGCCAGAACCACACUCAGAGACAGUCUUGAAACUGCUGAGGCUUCUCUAAAGGCCAUAGUCAAAGCAAAUAUAUGACAACAAUAAAGAAAUGUAAAUACUUAAACCAUUGGUCAACCUCUGCUAGCCUGCCCAGCUAGGACCUUUAUGGAGCCAAGGGUCUGGUUAACGGAAAAGGACAGGCGUCGACACCUGCCAGUGUCCCUUCAGGGGGGAGUUUGCCAGAGCCUCACAGAGGCGACGGGGUGCAGAGAAGGCUUUCUAAAUCACCCCUCGACAAACUCGUCGACCCUCUUCCUACGCUGCUAAUACUGUAUCUUGUUCGUCUAACCCCAAGGUGUGGUCAUCCAGCACAAGAGAAAAGGAGCCGAACCCAUUCUGACUUCACUCUCUUCACUUAAGAGCUGACCCAGAGAGGAUGAGACCAACAGGGAAGUGUUUUGUCAAAAUGACUGUUUGCAUCCCGUCUCCUGUUCCUCAUUCUCCUCGUUGCCACCGUCACAUAUUAGGCACUGACUUUUUAAAAAAACUCUCCUGUGUGAUGAGUUUAGAGACAACCCACUAGUAUUUCCAAACUCUGGUUUUUUUUGUUUUUUUUAUAACUUCCUAGGGAUUGAACCCAGGGCCUUAAGGUGCUAGGUAGGCACUAUACCACUGAAGGACAUCUCCAGCUCCUUUUAACUUUUAUUCUUGAGACAAUCUCAUUAAAUUGCCCAGGCUGGCCUCAAACUGGGGAUCUUCCUGCCUAAGCUUUCUGAGUUCCUGCCAUUAGCCACAUGUCUGACUUCUAUCUUUUUAAAAAUAAAGAUACAAACAUAA